ACUUAGAAUUCCCCCCAAAGCCAUGAAUGAGAAGGAGAGGGAUUCUUCGAUGAUUCCGGUGAGUCGGGAUCCAUAGAUGGAUGGAAGUGUCUCGGUCGAGAUCGAUGGUUAAAGGAAAAAGUCCGGAGUUGAAGAAGAAGAGAGAAAGGUAGUACUCUUUCAACUUGAUAAAAGUAAAAUGGCGAAUGAGGGAUUCUAUCAGCAUCGGGAGGCGGAAGAGGAGAUGACGGAUGCGGUGGUGGAGCGGUAGCGAAGAUGUUGCAGUUUCCAUUGAGAAGGGGGAGCAACGUGUCGAUGUGGUCAACAGUUGAGGCAACGCACGACACCGAGGAAGUUGAGUUUAUUUUGAGACGAAUUUAUAACUUUUCCAGAGAUUAAAAUUUAAAAUAUUACCAUUUACUACUUAAAGAAAGAAUUUUUUUCCUUAGAAAGGUAAUUUAGGAUGGAAUUCUUCAAUAAUCAAUGAGAAUAAAACAAACUAUUUAAUACGGUAUUUAAUGAUUAACUGAUUAUGCGUAAACUAGAUCGUAGCUUCUGUCAUAAGAAAAUUAGCAAGGAAGAUUAGCACCAUAUGCAUGAUCAAGUCACACUGAAAAAAUGUAUCGAAUUAGAAAUGAGAAAAAAUUAAUAAUCAAAUCUAAUUAACCUAACAUUACUCAAUAUUCAACAGUCAAGUUUAGAAUUUUAUUUUAUAAUUUAUAAAAUUCUAAAUACAUUCUUCAGUUUCCAUGGUUAUUUUAUAAUCAUUAACCUUUUUAUUAUUUCACCCGUUCGUUUAUAAUAUUUGAAUUUGGAUCAGAUGUGGAGUGCACGUCGAGCUGUCAGAUAAUGAAUUUAAAAGAUUUUAAUUAUUUUUGUCAUUAGUUGUGUUUUAGGAUUUUUUUAAUUUAAAAUUCAUAGGUUUAUAGGUCAGGUUUACAGCUGUCAGUUAUAGGUCCUGGUUUUGUCUUUUCUUGUCUGUGUCAGUUAUAAGUAGGUCCACAAAUUUGUUUUGCUUUAUGGGUUUCGUUAGGGUUUUCAAAUUUGCAUUGCUUUAGAAGUGUUUCGUUUUCAUCGUCUUCCAGUUCGGUUCAUUCCUUCGAUUUCGUUCAUUCGGUUGCUUUAGGGGUUUGCGUUCUUUCGUUCAUUCGGUUGCGACGAAAGCAAAUCAGAUUUCUGGUCUUCUGUAAGUAUUUCAUUCCUUCGAUUUUCCAGAAGCAAGCUUGUCUUCUUUAGGGGCGACCGAUGAAGCAUUAGAAAUCCCUAAAGUAUUAUGGAUUUCGCACUGCUAUAGGUUCUUCUUGAAAUCUGAUUUGCUUUAGGGUUUUCGCAAUUAUCGUCUUCCUUUUUCUUCUUCUUGUCAAUGUAUUUGCUUUUUCGUCUUCUUCUUUCUUAUCAAUGUUUCGCUUUAAGGGUUUCGAAUACAGUACAUAUCAAAUUUUCUUCUUCUUCUUAUUGGAUUUCUUCUUCUACUAAUUCCUCCAUUGAAUUCGUUCUAGGCAGCAGUUUUAGGUUCUCAUCUGUUGAAGCAAGCUUGUCUUCUUCGUUUUAUUGGGUUUUUAAACCUUUUAAUUCGUUUUUAAAACUUCUAUUGGGUUUUGAUUUUAUCGUUCUCCACCUUUUCUUCAUCUUUUCAUUUGGUUUUCAAUGGGGUUUCAUUGUGUCAAAGUAUUUUCGACAAUGUUUUAAUUCAUCCAUUCAAUUGAUUCUCCAGGUUUUAAAUUCUAGCUUCCGGCAACAGUUUCAUUGGGUUUUCAUUCCUUCGAUUUAGCAUUUUUCAGAUAUUGUUUUCUAUAUAAGUUAUAAGCAGGUCUUCUUCUAUUCCAGUUCAUCAUUCUCCUGUUUUUUUCCUCUUCUCCGGUUUUUCUUCUUCUUCGGUGUUGAGUUUUACCAAUUUUAGGGUUUUCUCGUUUUCAGUUUUAGGGUUUUCUGUUUUACUGGAUUUCUCGUUUUCGGGUUUUCGGUUUUACCGUUUACCCUUUAUCGUGUACACUUUACCAGUUUUACCGUUAACCGUUUACCGAUUACCCUUUAACAGCUUUACCCCUUCAAAUUAACCGUUUACACUUUACCACUUUUACCGUUAACCGCUUACCGUUUACCCUUUAACAAUUUUACCAUUUAGAGUUUAUCGGUUACCAGUUUACAAGGUAGGUUUACCUGUUUUUGGUUUACCGUCUUCUUUCUCAAGUUUUUCUUCUUCUUCAACGACACACGUUGUCUUCGUUCACAAGGUUUUCAGUUCUAUGUUCGUCCGAACCUAAAUUUUGACAUCUUCCGACCAUCUCGGUUCCUCUCCGAGAUGGAGCAUCCAUUUAAGCCUUGUUGACUGGCACUAAAAACAUUCUAAAUCCAUCUCGGAGACUACUCAGCCUCUGACCAUUUCAGAUUCCGUCGACCACUCAACCUCCAACAGCAACCUCUCCGCCUCCAACUCCGAUUGAGUCUGAUGAAAAACAUCAGUCGGAAGAACAAGAUAGCGGCCACCUGGUAGCCAGGUCGAUGAUAUCAGUGAUAUCUAAUCAGCACCUCUGAUCUCCUAUCCCAAGAUCGCUCUGGUGGAUAAUAUAAGAUGUCCGGAAAAAAUUAUGUCCGAAAAUAAGAUGUCCGGAAACAAGCCAGCACCUGAUUAGAUACUAGUAACACAUCUGAGGUCUUCAAAUUAAGUUCAACUCUCGUGGAGAUGGAGAACGCAAACGAUGAUCCUGCGUCUUCCUCCGGUGAGCUAUUCAUUUCGGAAGACGGUAACAGACAUCCAGCAAUGGUCAUGUUGUCCGAGCAUAACAAGGCUUUGGAGAUGUCAAUUAUAGUUUCGACUUUGACAAAGGUCAUUGCAGGAGACAGACAACAGAUCGGUGAUGUUUUCAUUCCUCCUUGCCUAUCAUCCCCUUUCCACCAGUAUAGCCAUGUUUUCUUCUAGUGCAUGAAGCGACAGAAAAUAAUAGCUCCCGGAUGUUCGGAAACAAGCCAGAUAUUCGAAAGGCCGGCAAGUCCAUGGAUGUCGGCCACGUAUCAUGAUGUCUGGCUUACGAUGUAUCGGAUUCCGAUUAUCACGCCGAAACUGGACCACAUCACGCCGAACAUGUGUGUCACGCCGAUGUAUUGGACCUCCACGAUCGUUAACAAUAAUAGAUUAACAAUUAAUAUUGAUAGAUUAACAAUAAUAAUAAUGAUGUUAAUAGAUUAACAAUAAUAUUGUUAAUCUAUUUUUAAUCUAUUAAUGUUAAUAAUAGAUUAAUAUUAAUAGAUUUUAUCGUUAAUAUUUUUAAUCUAUUACUGGAAUAAUAUUAACAAAUUUUUUAUUAUAGAUUUUAUUAAUUUUAUUAUAGAUUAAUAUUAAUGAUUGAUUGAUUUUUUUAUUAAUAUAGAUUAAUAAUAUCGGCAGAGGAUGGAGGUGAACAUGCGAUAACAAAUAACUUUGAGGUAAAUAAUAUUAUAAAAAUGUUUAUAUUUAGUUAUCAGUUAAAAAAUCAUUUUUAUAUGAAUUUAGUAAUAUAUGAAUUUUUAUAUAUUUAGUUAUCGUAGUUAUAUAUGAAUUUUUAUGUUUCAACAACGAAUUUACUAAUAUAUUCGAAAAGGAAAAAAAUUUCGAAUUAAUAGACGAUGCAGAAUCAUUAUACUACGAACUCGUUGGUAACCUGGGCUUCUUUGUACGAAGAUCUACUACCAGGAAAAUUUCUAAUGAAGUGGUAUAUAAGAAGUAUGUUUGUUCAAAAGAAUGCGUAUUAACAAUACAUAGAGAAAACACUAUUACAGAUAAUGGAAAAAGGCAAAAAUUAAUUAGAAACUCACGAACAGGUUGUAAAACUUUUAUCACUUUCAAAAAAUAGAAAAUGAUUGGGUAGUCACAACAUUUAAUCAUGAACAUAAUCAUUGUUUCGCGACUUCAUCAAAAAAAAGAUUUAUAAUCAUCAACAGAAAAAUCGAACUUUUCGUACGAAAUAUCAUCUAUGAUCUAGAAGACUCGAAUAUAGCUCCAAAUCAACAAUAUUCAUAUGUCGCAAAUCAGUUUGGAGGAUUCGAGAAUUGUGACUUUACUAGAAUUGACUUUGAGAACUUGUGAAAAGAUGAUUAAAAAACAUUACAUUGACAUAUUAACUGAAAAAUUCAACACGUAAGGAAAAUGAUAUUAAUUUCUAUUACUCUUAUGAUUUAGAUAAUGACGGUACGAAAUUUAGACAUAUUCUUAUUAUUUUCAUUAUUUGUAUGGCUCUAUUUUCAUUAUUCAUACCGCUCUAUUUUCAUCUCGUGUUCAUGUACUUCCUCUUCUUUUACUAUGCUUAAUUUAUUCUCCUAAACCCUUAUUCAUAUGACAGGAGCUUUAAGAAAUUUAUUUUGGGCCGAUCUUAUAAGCAUCGAAGACUAUAAAAAAUAUGGAGAGGCAAUAACAUUUGACACAACUUACAACACAAAUAGAUAUAAGUCAAUACUUGGCAUGUUCUGUGGAGUGAACAGUCAACUAAGUUCGAUUUUAUUUGCUUCCGUGAUUAUUUGUAAUGAGGUAACAAAUUUUUUCAUUUGGUUAUUUAAAUAAUUCAAAAAUUGUAUUUUUUACACCAAAGACUAUAAUAACAGAUCUAGAUGCAGCAAUGAAUGUGGCUAUAACACGAGUCUUUCCAAGUAUUUUUUAUCGUCUAUGUAAGUGACAUAUUACACACAAAAUGUGCGAUAAAAUUGGUACAAUAUACAGAAAUAAAACUGAAAUGGAACGGUUCAACACUAUAUUCAAUAAAUCUGAUUCAAUAGAGAAGUUCGAAAGAGACUGGGAUUUGUGGACAAAGGACAACAACAUUCAUGAUUGUGCAUGACUAGAAUCGAUGUUUCAGCUAAGACGAAAGUGGUGUCCUAUUUACAUGCAAAAUUAUUUUUUUCGGUGGUAUGCAAAGUAAACAAAGAAGUGAGGUUAUGAAUGCUAUGGUAGAGACUAAAUUGAAAAAAUAUUCAACUUUGCAGGAAUUAAUCGGAUCUAUGAAGACAUUACAGAAAGCACAAAGAAACAGACAAUCAGAAUUGGAUCAUAAUGACCGAGAUGCACUCCCUCAUAUGAUUACUGUGAGAAUAAUAACCAUAAGGUUAUUAUUGUCAAAUUAAAUAGUAUAGACAAAUAUUAUAAAUAUUAAGGAGAUAGCUUUGUAAAAUUAAAGUUGUGAAAUAUAUUUUUCCAACAAACCUUUUUUCCCCUUUCCUUCUUCUUCUUCUCCUCAUCAACUGUCGACACUUCUCUACGAUCCCUCCUAUACUAGGGGUGUAGUCUCACAUGGUAUCAGAUGCUUACGGCGAUUGAUGAAGGGACAUUUGCAAAAAAUUAAUGGUUCAGAUUUACUUAUACGCGAACAAUUACCUCAUGUACAACCGCUGGGUGGAAUCUCGAAGUUUUACAGCCGUCAUACAAUAGUGAAUAGGACAUAUUAUUUUUACAUGUUGUACAAACUAGUUACAUUAUCCUACCUACACCUAUAUUAUAUUCUUUAUAAUCUUUUAUUCCUAGUCUAAUUAAUGUUCUUGACUACUCUUGGUUGACGUAUGACUGUUCAUGAUUGAUGUACGCGGUUAUAUUAGUUAAAAACCAGCUAUACACAAACAUCUGUCUACUAUUGAUAUAAACAUCCAUGUACAUCAUCUUAUCAAAGUAUGCAGACUUUUCGUUAGUUAUAUUUUUUAAUUACUCUAUCGUCAUAUAUAAUCGUUGUAUCGCUAAUAUGUUGUACUUGUUUUUAUUUCCGCACUGUACCCUUAUACGACAAAUCAGUUGUACUAUGAAUCUCUACCGUUUUUCAUUUAAUAUAUUGUACUUGUUUUUUUCCUUACUGUACCCUUGUAUAACUAAUCAGUUGUAUCGGUUUUAUUUUCCCUAUUAAAUAUCAUAGUUUUAAAAGCAACAAAGCGCUCCCAUUUUCCAGGGAGCGUUUUUUCAGCUUUGACCGCUUUAGCGGCGCUUAAAGCAAAAAAAUCGUCAGUGGCAAUUUCGUAAAUAAAUGUAAUUUUUUCGAAAAUUGCAUAUAUACCCCUGCAUAUAUAUAUAUAUAUAUUUUAAACCUGUAAAUAUAUGAUAAAACAGAACAUAUAUGAACCUGUAAAUAUUCAAGUCAUAAUGUAAAAAAUACCAUAACAUUUUUUUUAAAUGUGUAUUUUUUAUAUUAUGACUUGAAUUUAAAAAAAAAAAAUUUAAAUGGUUGGCAAGAUUCCGGUCUGUUUUGAUCAAAAUCCGACAAACCUAUUUAAAAUUUAUUUGAAAUCCAGCUACAUGUUCCUGUAGGGCAUGACAUUGCAAAACCAAAAAAAAAAAAAUAGAGGAUGGCCGAAUUCCGGCCAUCUUUUUUCCCCCCUUUUCAGACGGUCUGACUACCUAGCUACUUUAGAAGUGACAAUACUACAAAUUUAUAAUAGAUUCUAGGACCUAUCUGCUUUCUAUACUACUACCUAUAAUAGAUUCUAGGACCAUGCAAAUAUCCAAUGAAUAUUUGCGUGCUAUUAACUCAAACUAGGGAUGAUUUUUCUACCCGAAGCAGAAAAAUCCUCGUCCCCGGCCGAAAUCCCCGGUCAUUUCCGGGGAUGGGGAUUGAAUUCCCCGCCUCGGAUAAUCCCAGUACCUGGAGAAAAUUGCAUAUAGACCCCCCCAAAUUAUAUUGUAUAAUUUAUAUAAAUAACCUUAUACAAUAUAUUAAAUAGAUAAAUUUAUAUUUAAAAUUAUAAAAUUAAAUCUAUAUCCUAAAUAUAAAUUCCUAAUUAAAAAUAUAAAACCUUAAAAAUUAAAUCUAAUUUCUAUUCUUGUUGUUUCACACUCCCACCGCCGACCGAGAUCUUUCUUCCGCCGCUGCCCUAACUCAUAAGGUAAGCUUCGCAUGAUCUUUCUUCCACCGCCUAAUCGAAGAAUAGAGCCGAUCAUUAUUCUCUCAAAAGUCAAAACAUCCAAGUUAGUCACGUCGUUCGUCUGGAGCAGGAAGUCUAUAGAUUUCCAAUUCUUAUUCCGAUUUUAAUCAUUCUUUAGAUUUUUUUUUUAUUCCAAAUCAAGUUGCUGCAUGUUUCAUACUUUUUCCAUAUGGUAAGAAACCUUCCUCCCAAACUACUAGAACCGACUGAAAUCUCUAUAACCGAUUCUGGAAACCCAAAGAGGGAAGAAAUAACUGAUCGACAAGAAGAAUCAAGGUUUACGAUGGAGAAGAUUGAGAAGAAAGAAGAGAACUAGGGUUUACGAUUUGGGGAUGGGGGUUAAGGAUUUGGGAUUUCUUUAAUGGGUGAAUUUUUAUAAACUUACUUAAAAUAAAUAUUAUUUACAUAAAAUAACCUUAUAAUUUAUGACGAUUUUUGAGACCGGGGAAGACAAUCCCCACCCCGUCCCCGCUCACCCCUAACUCAAACAAUGUAAUAUGUAUUAUGAAUAUUAUAUUUAACUCAAAAAUAACAGAGACGGCUGAAAAUUAUUGACUAUGAUCCAACGGCGUACAACAAAUGACGCAUUUUCGACACACCAAUAAAUGAUACACCUAAAUAGCCACCCUAUUUAUUUAAGAGAAUUUAAUCCCACAAGAGUAAUACGAUCACUUGGUCUUGCAAACAUGUCUUGUCUUGGUUGAUUACUCAGUAUACAGGGUUUAUUACACUACAAGAAAGAAGGCUUUUUCUGACCAACUCUAAGGACCAACUUCGAGGUUGGUCGCUUAUAGUUGACUUUUUAAGAACACUUUUGAAGUUGGUCGCCAAUUUUAAGAUGAAAGCGACCUACAGUUUGGUUGCUGGACUCUUUUUUAAUAAAAAAAUUAAAAUGCAACCAGACUUGUUGGUCGCCUAAAUUUAAAAAAUAUAUAAAUAAAUAAAACAAUGCGACCAACCUGAUUAAAAUAUUCUAAAAUUAAAAAUUUUAAAAAUAUCUUCCAAUUUGGCGACCAGAUUAAAAUAUAUAUAUAAAUGAAACAAUGCGACCAACAAAUAUGUAAAUAUUUCGUAAGUUUAAAAAAAAUUCAAUUCACAACCAACAUGAAUUAAAAUAUAUAUAAAAAUAAAAUCAAGCACAAUGUGACCAACCAGAUUGGUCAUCUCAUUAAAAAUUAAAAAACAAAUUAAAUUAAAAGAGAUUACAAAAAAUAAAAAACAAAGUUUGUCACCUAAAUUUAAAAUGAAAUAAAUAAGCGAAUUAAAAAACGACCAACCUAAUUAAUAUAAAAAAUGACCACCUAAUUUUGUUACUUUAUUACACGAAAACUGGUUUAAAAUGACGGAUCAAAAAUGAAAGAAAUUUUCGUCAUUUUGUUAGGAGUCAGAAGUGAAGGAAUUUCGGUCAUUUUUAGCAGAUUUCCGUCGGAAAAAAAAUUCUAUGAUUUUUUUUAAAAAUGACGGAAAAUAUUUGGUAUAAAUGACAGAUUUUCCAUCAUUUUUAAAAAAAAUAGAGGCAUUACCGUCAUUUUUAUGUAUCUUAUAUUUUUCAAAAAUUUAAAAUGACGGUGGAGCAAAAAAAAAAUGACCGAAAACCCUCCGAUUUUAUAAAAUUGGUGGAAAUUUUUUCAUUUUUGGAUUUUAAUAUAAUAUCAGGUAUUUGUAAUAAAAAAUAAGGUUUGAAUAAAAUAUUUUCAAAUCUUAGACUAAAAAGUUCAAGACUCAAAUUAAAUAAGUUAAUUACAUUCAAAUAAAAUAAUUUGACUCGAAGUCUCGAAUUAACUAAAUCUAUUAAUAUAAAUAAAUUAAUUAAACUAUAAUUAACCAAAUCAAUUAGACUUAUCGAUUAAUAAAAUCCAAAAUAAAAAUCUCUAAAAUAAGUUUAUCCCCAUAGCCCAUACCCUUAUUUUCUCUUUUUUUUUUACUUUCAUAAACUCCAGAUCUCAUUUUUUUUACUUUCCCCAAACCCUCCUUUUACUCUCGACAGAAAUCUUUCCCCAAACCCUCGUUCUUCCCUUGCGUGCAGAAGUUCUUGUAUAACCGGAGACAGCGCCAACCGAAGUUCUUCCCUUGCGUGCAGAAUCGCCCUCUGGUGGGAAUCAUCCUCUGACAUUUGACCAGAAGUUCUCAUUUUCCCUUGGUGGGAAUCGCCCUCUGUACGGAAGUUCUUCUCUUGAUCCCUUUAGGUUUGAUCUGAAGGUGCGAAUCGCUCAUUCACUGCAGGUAUUCAGAUGGAUACUCCACAUCUCUUGGAAGAAGCAAUUAUAUGGUAUGGUCGGACGAGAUUCUUGGUCCAGACGUGGCUUCCGCUGGUCUCCAUGUUCAGUGACUAUAUCUGUCGAGGUACACCAGUCAUCCCUAUUCUUCCUACCCCAAGGAGGUAAGUGUUAAUGCGUGCGAGAAUCAUGGAUUUGACUGGGUUUUAGGUUCUCGGAGUCAGAGAUAAAAUACGUUUUCUCUCUUUCUCUUCCUUCUGUGAUUUUUUUCUUCUUCAGUGGCCUCCUAUAGCGUAAGUGGUUGGUACUCGGGAACUGCCUCCUGUGUUUAAUGAAAGAUACAUUGCAGCUGGUGGCGAGGGGACUGCACUGUGUGGAAUCUUUCCGGAGAUACGCAGGGCGUGGGCUUCAGUUGACAACUCUCUUUUUCUCUGGCGAUUUGAUAAAUGGUAAAACUGUGUAUUCUAUCUUUAAUAGCAUUUAGGCUUUGAUUUUUUUUUUUUAAAUUCACUGACAAAUUGAAGUGUACGUAGAUAAAUGGUUUUAUUUGUAUCAUGCUCAUCGUCUAGGUCCUUCUAUGGCUCUGUCUGUAGCAUUAUAUAGCUACACGUUGAUGUCUCAAAGUCCUAGAGUCCCAAGCAACAGGUGCAUUGGUCUCAAUAAUUUUCGUUUUUUAUAAGAUUCCAGUAUAAAAACAAUGCCAAGACAUAGAAUUUGAGCCUUUGAUUGGUUCUAAGUCAUUUUGCAGUGUUUCAUUGAAUCAUUGGUAGUCAUUGAAUUUAAAAUAACACUUAAUUUUAAAAAAUCACAACUGACAAGUGAAGACUCAUGUAUUUUUUUCAAAAAUCUAUUUAAAUUUACAAUAUCGAUGAAUUCUAAUUCCACUUUAAAAAAUUAUGAUAUUUACCAAUUCCAAUUGUUUAUGCAGAAUUUAACUGUUUGAUCAAGCAAUCUAAAUUCAUUCACUAUUUUAGUUCAACUUUCAUACAGUUUGAAUUUUGAAACUUUGAAUACAUCUAAUAAGUGAUAUUAAUCAAGGUUUCCUAUGUGUGUAUGCGAUUGGCAUUUUCGUAUACACACAUAUACUAGCUUAAUCGGAAUGUCGUGAUAAUAACUUUUUCAGAUAAUAAAUAGUAUGCAAUUCACAAGUAUGGAAGUAUGUCCCUGUAAUACAUUGAUCUUCUAAACUAAUUAGUUCUGACCUGGCAUUGAUUUUUUAUUAUUAUAAAUUAAAUUAGAUUUGAACUCAUUAGAUUAUGGAUUCAUACGGUUUGCUGUCUAUUUAUUUACUUACCGUGUUAUCAAUAUUUACUCAUUUUCUACCAAUCAUUGUGGUGCUUUUUUUCAAGGAUGGUCAGCGAGUGUCCUGAAUACACUUGUCAGGAGCAAGCGAUUUGUGCAAUUGGUGGAGAUGAAUACACCUGUGGUUAGUGUCAUGUACACAUAUAUUUAGUAAAAUUUAUGUUGUUGCCAAAAUGAACCCAAUCAGGUGGUGUAUGUGGUCGCGUUUUAACUAACGGCUAACUGGCGAGAUGAAUGAUAACGUUGGAAUGAAUCAUUCACCAAUUUCUAUUCUUAUAUAUUGUCGUUGUGGAUUUUAAUCGUGCUCGAUUUAUCUUUUUUCAAGUUUUUAAUCGUAUCUAAUUAAUUUUAUUUAACCUUGAAAAAAUUCUUUAAUGUUAAUAGAUAUGCAAUCUGUUGUUAUCUGUAUCUAAUUAAUUUAAAGUUCAAAGCAUAGUAGAUUUGAAAUUUCUAGCAUUUAGAUUCGAACAAGUUUAUGAUUUUCUAUGUUUGUGUUGUGUACUUGUGUCAUUAUCUCAAAUGUUCAGAAAUAUUUUGUAAGCCUUUCUUUUAUUAGGUAAACGAGGUUUCUUGAUUUAAAUAUAUGAAUUUUUAGACUUGAUUUAAAGUUAUCAUAUCUAUUUUUUUUCCCAGAAAGAAGAGCCUUGAUUUUAACACAUUAUAAAAAAAAUUUAAAGCUAACUUUCAAGGAGGAUAGCUAACUUUCAAGGAGGAUAGUUAGUUAGUUAGUUACAAGGCAAUCCAUAGCUAAUUAACUCUCUUUUUACUUUCAAUUAUUUUUAUCUAUCUUAAUCAAUUUACAAAGCAUGUUUUUUGGUACCAUCAUUCAAAUUCCAAAAAAACAUCACUCUUUUUCUUGUGAAUGGAAACAUCCUUAAAUGGGGAUCGGUAUCCAUUGACCAACCCAAUUUUAAAAAAAACAAAACAAAAUUUAAUGAUGGAAAAUUUAUUUAUUUUUCGAAAUAACCCUCUAACUUUAAUCGAAUUACAUCUAUAAAAUUUGUAAUAUAAAUUAAUAAAUUUUUUCAAAUUUUUAUUGACAUUUGAUGAUUGAAAAUCUUAAAUCUUUUUGUCUAUUAAUUAUAUAAACCAAUUAGGAAAAAAAUCAAAUUCAAAUAAAUUUUUAUCUAGGUGUGUGACUUUUAUGAAUAUUUAAUUUAACUAUCAAAAAAUAAUUAAAUAAUAUCAUAAUAAUUACUUUUUACACAAAGAAAAUGAUUUAAUAUCAUAAUUAAAUAAUAUCCUAACCUAACCUAACCCUAAUUUAUUAAAUACACAAAGAAAUUAGUUCAAUUGGUCAAAAGAUUAGAUUUCAUUGAUAAUAAAUGAUCUUAGGGUUAGGUUAGGAUUAGGAUUAUGAUUAGGGUUAGGAUUAGGUUAAAUGUUUGGGUUAUCCGAAUAUUUAAAAAUCAGAUUAGGUCAGGACUAAUCCGAACCAUACCAAUACCUAAUUACACUAUUAUGCAUAUAUAUUUAAAUCAAUAAAAUAUAAUUUUUAUAAUAUGUUCUAUUUCUAAGUCUAUAUAUAUAAUUAGAUAUAUAAAUUUUAUGAUAUAGUCGGUACACUAAAAAUAAGUUGACAAUUUAGACGAAAUAAAAUUAACAGAUGGAAUUUCUAGUGAAAACACUUAAAAUCUAAAAUAACAGAAUUUUCGUUAAAUUUUAUAUCAAUUAUUUGUAUUAGAACGUCCGUGAUCCGUUACAAAUAAAUAAUAAAAAAUUAUUUUUCAUUUUUUCUCUUACAAAAUAAUAACGGAUUUUAUAAUAUGUUUUAUUUCUAUGUCAACUAUUUAUAUAUAAUUAAAUGUAUAAAUUUUAUAAUAUAGUCCGUAAUUACUAAUUAGUUUUGUUUUUAAUUUAACCAACAUAAAAAAAACAAAAUAUUAAUGAAAUUAAUUUUAAAUUUUUAUUAUAAUGAAAUUUAAUUCUAAUCUUAGUUAUUUUCAGUUUUCACACGGUACACGGUAAACACUACACAGUAAAACGGUUAAAGAAAAAAUUAUAAUAUUUAAGCAAAGGUCUUUCUUUAUAUGGAAAGAUUAUCUACGUUCCAGAGUCCGUAAAAACAGGGGAAAUGCAUUCGUCGUUCAAUAAAUAAGCUACGUAUGAACCUGCAAAGCUGCAACGCAAAUUGUGCCAUAAUUAAAAUAAUCAACUGUUGGCAUUUCACUGCCGUAAAAGUUUAAACUCGUGAAAAUUGAAAAGCUAUACCAUCAGUUUGAUUCCAGAAGGAAGUUUUCGAUCAAGUAAUUAACGGAAUCAGGGUUCUCGAGUUGGCAUGCAUGUCCCGCGUCUUUCACUAUUUCCAACCUUGAUUUCUUUCCAAGAUGGCUAGUAGCAUGAAAUAAUAUAAUUAGACGGUGUACUGUCUGUCCGGAACUAUAUAGUCAAUCUAGUGGUAAAUAUUUAGAAAUCAAAACACUAUUUCAGAAAAUAUCAAAUAAAGGGAAUAACGAUUUCAUACCUAUUCAAUUGAUGGGCAAGAUACGUUGGAAAUACAUUGUCCUGGUUACCCCAUAUAAGAAGAGUUUCCUAAGAAGAAGACACACUGCAGAGAAUUAUUGACGUACGUACGUACAUAGAUAGAAUUGAACCACAAUGAAAAUUUAAUGCAUAUCAUAUCUUAACAGUAAAAUAAAAGAUACACACAGAUUCUAUACAGCUAAUACAUUGGAUGAAGAUAAUUCUAUCGUAAACAAGUAAAUAACAAGAUGUGAAAUUUGAAAUUAUAAUCAGCACAUAGUAGGCCUGCUAUCUUCAUAAGAUUUAACAUUAUAUGGUCGAUCGUGCAGAUAAUAGCAAUAUUAAAAAAAAAAAGUGAAACAGAAGAUAGAUACAACCCAAGAACAUCAAUCAUUUCAUGCCUUUUGGUAUUAAAGGCUUCAAGCAAUAAAUUUUUGGGAUAAAUUACUUUGAUAUAGGAAAACAUUGUCAAUGUGCGAUGAUACUAUGUUUUAACAUCAAAUAACCUGUGUGAGAACUGGAAGUGAAUCUGCAGAAGCUCCAUUCACCAAUAGCUCAUUUAGCAUGUCCACUCUUUCAUUUCUAUUAUCUUUGUACAUCACCUGUAACAAACAUAAAUAUAAUCAAAUAAGAGGUUCAUCCGUUCAUCAUCACCAAUCACAAAUACUGUACAUCAAAAAUUACAUUUUACCUCGAUGAAGUCCCGAAGUAGAAAUGCUGGAACCCAGCGUGGAGGGCGGUGCAUCGAUCUCCUAAGCAAUUCCAUUAAAUCCUCCCCUUUUUGUGGUAAUAGAAUUUCAAUAACGUCCCUCUCUUCUCUCUCUACCAUCUCCUUCUUCUGCUUAUCGGUCAUGCAAACACCGGCAGUUAAAAUCACCAACUUCUCCACCUCCUUCACUGCCAUGUCAGCCAUGCGAAAUGCCACAAACCCUCCGUAGCUGAUCCCACAUACGGCGUACUUGUCGACCCCAAGCCUCCUCAUUGUCUCUACAAAACACUGCGCCUGAAAUUCCACCGACCUGCCAACAAUUUCAACAUGCAUAAAACAAAAUAAAUCCCAAAUGAAAUAAUCAAACUGUUAUUCUGUCGAAACAAAUCAUCAUCAACAGUAAAGAAUAAAAAAUAAUGUGACGCCACCUGUCAGAUGACAGUGUGGUAGAGCGGCCGAAGAAAAUGAGAUCGGGAAUGUAGAGAUCGAAGGAUUUGGACAACGAAACGAUCUGCUUCUGCCAUUGCCACUUAGAAUUCCCCCCAAAGCCAUGAAUGAGAAGGAGAGGGAUUCUUCGAUGAUUCCGGUGGGUCGGGAUCCAUAGAUGGAUGGAAGUGUCUCGGUCGAGAUCGAUGGUUAAAGGAAAAAGUCCGGAGUUGAAGAAGAAGAGAGAAAGGUAGUACUCUUUCAGCGUGACAAAAGUGAAAUGGCGGAUGAGGAAUUCUGUCAGCAUCGGGAGGCGGAAGAGGAGAUGACGGAUGCGGUGGUGGAGCGGUACCGAAGAUGUUGCAGUUUCCAUUGAGAAGGGGGAGCAACGCGUCGAUG
rnacentral:lncRNA from 1 species